rnacentral:lncRNA from 1 species
UUCCUCCUCUUCUAGAAUGUGAGAGGCGACUGUUGUCGGAACACAUUAGCUUUAUUGCUGAGAAUACCAUGAACAGUCUUCCAAGAAGGUAAAAAAAGGCAUUCUUGUAACCAGGACUUGGCUUGCGUAUCUUUUCUCUUUCAGUUUCGUGCGUCCAGUCCAGUCACAGGCCAUCAUCUUCACUGGCUGCUCUGCUGGUCUCUUCCAGAUGCCUGCAAAGCGCAGUGGAGCACUGGCUGUGACUGUGAGGGUCGCUUCUACUACUACUACUCGUCCUUCCAGGUAAAUUCCCGCCCCAUCCUUCAGCCCCCAACGAGUGCACAUUGCCACCCCGUCCUCCCCCCGCUCGUAUGGCACUGCAACUGCCUGCUUUUACACACUCCAUUCCAGAGCAGAAUGUAUGCAGGACGGAUCCAGCUACUUCCGGUUCAAAGGCAAGAAGAUGUGAUGGGGUUGGGGCAUGUGGGGGUGGGUGUGCAUUAUUUGGUCACUUGAUCUUUUCAGUUUGCAGAAAAAAGGUUGUUGAUCCAAGAACAAGGAUAAAUAAAGCCGGCCGACCAUGCACGCAUAUAAAAUUUCUCUGCCGCCGCCGCCGCCGCCGAUGGUUACCUGGAACAUGGAAUCCAGUGCAGGGGAAGCAGAUCGACAAGUGUAAUCGGAUUCUGCCAAUUGUCUAUACAGUUUCUUAGGUAGAACCGAAUGGUCCGGUCCUCAAGCGAAUUUUUAAUCCUGUUGAUUUAUGCUUUUUUGCGGGGGGGAAAGUCUGGAAUUCGUCAGAGCUGAGUUAACGAAUCCUUCUCAGGCCAUAUCUGCGCGUGAUAGAUUGUGCGCGCGCGAAUCGCCAUGGCAGCCCACCAGUCCACCACCAUUCUCUGAUAGGAUCUUCUGAGCUCCUGAUACACUGUUAACGAAUCCUUAUCAUUGCCAAUGAACAGACUUUUAAU